GUCAUUUCCUGUUAUUCUUUUUGCUCUUUUUCCCUCCUCCUUGGGCUGGAAACCGGCUUUGGGGGCGUGCCUGCUUCCUCUGCUGUCAGGUUGCAAGCAGGAAAGCGGUGAACUGUGGAGCGCCUGCCAUGGAUGCACUGGUUCUGCAGUUCUGGCUAGCGAUGCCUCUCCUCUCCUGCCACUUCUCAGCUCUGCUUCUCAAAACCUUAUGGGAACCUCAUGGGAAAAGAUGGCUUUUCUCAGUAGAAUUGUUUCUGGCCCAGCCCUGCUGUGAGAACUUUGCCCUAAACCCAAACUGGCUCCUCCGACCCACAUUUCGCAGUAUCACAGGUGUGGUCACUUCGCUAGAGUAGGCGCUAAAAUCAGUUGAGUUACACUCCGUUUAAUUACAUCCAACCAGUAAAAUACUUGGACUGCGUCUGCAAGUGAAAUCUGCAGUUCAUUAUACAGGCGUUUUUUAUCUUACGACACUGUGAAAAUUGUAUGCGUUCAGCAGAAACUAUGCUUCAGAUUUUGAAUUUUGAUCAUCCACCUUUCAAAAUACACUCUGCAAUCUGAGGAUUUAGCUCAGCAGCAUUAGUACCUGCCUGGCAAGCGCGAGGGUUGCGAGUUCGAUCCCUGGUAUUAAAAAAAAUACACCCUAGGAUAAGCUUACGGAGCAGGGAAAGCAGUCAGUAUGAUCACAAGGGUAAUCCCAUACUUUCUAGGACACUGAACUACUGCAGUUUUGACUUAUGAUGUGUUCAACUUAUGAAUGUCUUGGCGUGUGACCCCACUGUAAGUCGCGCACUUGUAUAAGGUUAUUAAACAUAAAGUAUAUAGUGAGUUUUCCAUAAAAGAGUUAAAUUACCCUUGUUCAUGCCAGAGGCUCAAUCACUGAUAGCAAAUAGGGGAGAAAACCUGUUAGUUGUAACCCGAUGUUACUCGUGGCUACCUUCUACAGAGCUGCAUUUACGUGCAUGUUCUCUCAUCUAAUAUUUCUGUGACUUUACACAUUCUACAGAUGAGGAUGAUUAUUCCAGCUCUCCUUUUUCUGGAUCACGUAGUACUAGUAAGUCAGAGUUUAAACUAUCAAAAGCCUGUGAAUCCACAGCUACUGUUCUCAACAUCGCUUGAAAAAGAAAAAAAUGUGCAUUUUUUCCCCUUCAGAAUUGCUACCAUUUCAAAGAACUGCUUGAGGUAAAAUUCAUACAUCUUUGAAGGCAAGGACUGUAUCUUGAUUACUAUUGAAUUUUUGGAGGUUAACACAUUUCCUCAAUGCAAUUGCUUAAUACAGUUUUGAUGAAUUCUCAUCUUAUGUUUACUCCUUAAAACAUUAAAUACUAAAAUCCUGAAAAUUAAAUGCUCCUUUUACAUAAAUACAUCCACGUAGAGAUAAAUGCUUUCUGGAAACAUGACUCUACCCAGGGAAUACUUGGAAGGUAAUAACCUCUUGAGAACACCGUUCACUCACACUCCUGACAUAGCCUCAAGUUUCAAGCUGUUAUAUAUAGGACUGGCUCACCAUGUGGGACAUCAUGACUUGAAAUGAGGUGAAGAAGCUAUAAACAUGAUCUGAUUGAACAAAAAGACUGACCUUCCUUAUACACAAAAUUCUCUUUAGCCAUGGAAAAAACCCUGAACUUAUGUGUGGGUCUUAUACUCAGGAAACUCACUUGGUAUUAACCUAAUGUAUGUACUAAUGCCAUUUAAUAAAAAGCUAUGUAGUAGGUAUAAUA